rnacentral:rRNA from 1 species
UACAGAGGUCCCAAGCGUUGUUCGGAAUCACUGGGCGUAAAGGGAGCGUAGGCGGGCUUCUAAGUUAGAUGUUUAAUCCCGGGGCCCAACCCCGGACAGGCACCUAAAACUGGAAGUCUUGAAUAGUGGAGAGGACGGCGGAAUUGGGGGUGUAGCGGUGGAAUGCGUAGAGAUCCCCAAGAACACCAGUUGCGAAGGCGGCCGUCUGGACACAUAUUGACGCUGAGGCUCGAAAGCAUGGGGAGCAAACAGG